AAAACGACUCUCGGCAACGGAUAUCUCGGCUCUCGCAUCGAUGAAGAACGUAGCGAAAUGCGAUACUUGGUGUGAAUUGCAGAAUCCCGUGAACCAUCGAGUCUUUGAACGCAAGUUGCGCCCGAAACCUUUUGGUSGAGGGCACGUCUGCCUGGGCGUCACGC
rnacentral:rRNA from 1 species